UGUUUUUACCUUUGUAGUUUUUCUUCUUACUUACAUUCGACUUCUGCAGGAUGUUCCAACUUCUCUUUCUCUAUCUGCGAUACUCCAAAAGGCUCGAGGAAGGGAGAGAGAAUGCGCUUCUUUUCCAUUUUUUACAAACAUCGAAAACAUCGAUAUUUUCCCCCUUUUAUUUAGUUUCCUCCCAACGAAUGGAGGACACACGCAAUGCACAGAAACAAAAAGGGUCGACGUGCGUUCGU
rnacentral:ribozyme from 1 species